AAUCAACGCUGGCGGCGCGCCUAACACAUGCAAGUCGAACGGGAAAGUGGAGCAAUCCAUGAGUAAAGUGGCGUACGGGUGAGUAACACGUGGAUAAUCUGCCCUUUAGUGGGGAAUACCGUUGGGAAACCGACGACAAUACCGCAUAAUCUCGAGAGAGGAAAGCAGCAAUGCGCUGAAGGAGGAGUCCGCGGUCGAUUAGCUAGUUGGUGAGGUAAUGGCUCACCAAGGCUGUGAUCGAUAGCCGGCCUGAGAGGGCACACGGCCACACUGGCACUGAAACACGGGCCAGACUCCUACGGGAGGCAGCAGUGGGGAAUCUUGCACAAUGGGGGAAACCCUGAUGCAGCGACGCCGCGUGAGCGAUGAAGCCCUUCGGGGUGUAAAGCUCUUUCGGCGAGGACGAUAAUGACGGUACCUGCAGAAGCAGCUGCGGCGUAAC
rnacentral:rRNA from 1 species